CUGGGGUUACUCUGUAGAGCCGAAAUACCCCGAACCCACCCCCGGGCUUCUGUCACGAUAAACUUACUGUGACCGAUUUCCUGUGACAUUCGAGUGUAUAUUAAACAUGGG
rnacentral:ribozyme from 1 species